rfam:Xylona heveae TC161 unplaced genomic scaffold L228scaffold_12, whole genome shotgun sequence.
GCCCUUAUAGCUCAGUGGUAGAGCGUUGCACUUGUACAGUGCUCCUUUCCUCUUCGGUUAGGUAAUCAGUUGCGAUAUGCAAAGGUCGGUAGUUCAAUCCUGCCUGGGGGCA